UUUCGUCUGUAGCCAAUGAGGAUGAGAACCUCCGAAGGAGGUUUGAGCCGAGCGCAGCGAGACAACGUUGCUUUUGCAACGGCCCGCAGGGGCGGCUCGCAGAGCCGCAAUCCUCUCUCGCCGACCA
rnacentral:sRNA from 1 species